CCCCUCUCAGGGUCGCACCCGGAGAGUUUCUAGAAUGCUCUCAGUCUCUACUGUGGGAGGGAGAGUCAAGCAGUGGCCUACCCAUUCCAUUCCUAGCUUGGGCAGUGGCUAGCGAGUGGAAGGCAAUCUGCUACAAGU